AGUGAACGCUGGCGGUAGGCCUAACACAUGCAAGUCGAACGGCAGCACAGGAGAGCUUGCUCUCUAGGUGGCGAGCGGCGGACGGGUGAGGAAUACAUCGGAAUCUGCCCAGUCGUGGGGGAUAACGUAGGGAAACUUACGCUAAUACCGCAUACGACCUUCGGGUGAAAGAGGGGGAUCGCAAGACCUCUCGCGAUUGGAUGAGCCGAUGUCGGAUUAGCUAGUUAGCGGGGUAAUGGCCCACCAAGGCGACGAUCCGUAGCUGGUCUGAGAGGAUGAUCAGCCACACUGGAACUGAGACACGGUCCAGACUCCUACGGGAGGCAGCAGUGGGGAAUAUUGGACAAUGGGCGCAAGCCUGAUCCAGCCAUACCGCGUGGGUGAAGAAGGCCUUCGGGUUGUAAAGCCCUUUUGUUGGGAAAGAAAUCUUUCAGGCUAAUACCCUGGGAGGAUGACGGUACCCAAAGAAUAAGCACCGGCUAACUUCGUG
rnacentral:rRNA from 1 species